GACGGAGGAUGCAAGUGUUAUCCGGAAUCACUGGGCGUAAAGCGUCUGUAGGUGGUUCAAUAAGUCAACUGUUAAAUCUUGAGGCUCAACUUCAAAAUCGCAGUCGAAACUAUUGGACUGAGUAUAGUAGGGGUAAAGGGAAUUUCCAGUGGAGCGGUGAAAUGCGUAGAGAUUGGAAAGAACACCAAUGGCGAAAGCACUUUACUGGGCUAUUACUGACACUGAGAGACGAAAGCUAGGGUAGCAAAUGGG
rnacentral:rRNA from 1 species